rnacentral:lncRNA from 1 species
UCUGCUUUGAAAACAUAUGACUACAACUCCUUUAAAAUGUAGCAUUGCAGUGUCUCUUAACAGCAUUGUGCCUUCUCAUGUGACACAUUAUCUUUCAAAGAAUCACCCAGAACACUAAAAUUGAAUUCCAGAUCUAGGGAAUAAAAUGGAUAAUGAUACUGAUUUGGAUCACCAGCCCAUAAAUUUAAUGACAGGUUGGAAACAAAUUUUACAUUGUUACCAAAUAUGCUCCAAAAAUAUCAUUUUUAAAAUUUCUAUUAGGCAUGAAAUAGAUAUGAUUUUGCAUACUCAUUGACAUUUAGGACACAAUCAACGAGGACAUUCAUUAUGGCACUUAGAAUAGUACUGCUAUAAUGUGAAGUGAUGAACACAGGAGGGGACCACCUCCACUUGUACCAUUGAAAGAUGUUAUGUUUUAACACAUCUGGUAUAUUGUUAACCUGCAAGUAAUUAUGAAAACCCCAUUUCCAAUUUGUGUUAAGAAAGAGAUAAAAGGAACACAAACUCUUUACAGACUUGGGAUAUUGAGGAAUAAACAUCUUGAGAAACAACAUUAGAAUACAGUAUAGUAAGUAUUGUACUAAAGAGCCCCAACAUAGGCCACAUAAAACAUGUGUCUGGUUUUCAUGUGGAAUCCAGUCAGGAAGACAAUGCAGUACAAAUUGAAGCUAAUUUUAAGUUGUAUUUAGGGACACUGGUAGACAAGACUGUUAGAAAAAAGUUAGUUAGGUCUUAAUAACAGGCUCGGGGGAAGAGGAAGGUGCAAUCAGAAAAGCAGGAGAAAAAAACGUACCUCUACAGUAUCAUAGAAGCUAAGGGUUGGUGUGAACCAAGAAAAGCGAUCAUUUCAUUUGGAUUUUAUCUACUGAAAAUUGCGAAAAGAUUGGUAAAUUUAAUGACCAUAGGUCAUUGUGAACUUGGAGCUUCAUUGGAGUCUAAGGACCAAAAGAAAGAUAAUUCUUAAUAGACACACAAAAUGUGACCUUCAGUGAAUCAUUGUGAUUUGUCUCCUUAUGGGCUCUGUGCAUCCGGGUAAAUGUUGAAGGUAUUUUUCAUCUCUAUAAUGACAGAUUAAAUGGGAGUGGCUGAGUUAAGUCUUACUGAACUUUGUAAAGAUCAUCACAGAUUUGUCAUUUUUGUUCAUCUUAGCAAUGAACUUUUGUCUAACUGCCAUAUAUUAAAAUUCUUUAUAUUUCCAUAACCCCUGAAAAAUAAGUGCUGAUAUGGAGUAAAUAUGUCUUUAUUGUUAGAUAAAAAAUUUAAUACAUUUAAUAACAUUUUAAGCAGGUAUACCAAAAAAAUCAGGUAUUUCAAAAUACUUAAAAUUUUUUUUUACUAUGAAAUGAUUACAUCAUUUCUCCCUUCUCUAUGUUCCUUCCAAACCCUCUCAUAUACAUUUCCUUGCUCUUUUUCUCUAAUUGUUGUUACGCGUGUGUGUGUCUGUUUGUCUGUCUUUCUAUCUGAGUGUUUUCUUAAAUAUAUAAAUACAACUUGCUCUUGCCAUAUAAUGUAAUGGGAGAAAAGGUAUGUUUUGCAUAAUGUAAGCAUUUACUUAAACACAGCAAUAAACUCCCUGCUUCUUGCUCUGUGUUCCACUUUACUGCCCUGCAUUGCCGUGGUACAGCUGAAGGCAGACAGCUCUGGAUAAACUGCUUAUCUUCUGCCUUGUCAGACAGACAGCUCUGGAUAAACUGCCUUCUCUGCUUUGCCUUAUGCAUCACUUUGCUUAAGCUGCAUCACCCAGUAUUCACCUGAAAUGAGACUGACGACUGUGCAGGGAAUUUCCUUUCAUAGAAUGAUGGCCUUUGAAAAUUCAUUGGACUUUAUUGUAAAAGCAAGGAGGGUGUGCCUUCAUCUUGUUCAUGUCUUCAUAUUAGAAAAGUACAUUCCUAAGGGUCUGUUCUGAAUAGUCAGUGACUUCAUGGCUUACAGUUCUGUAAUGGAGAAUCAGAGUCUGAAAAAAGGCAUGUGUCUGGCACCUUCCCAAGGCAUGGGUGUUUAAGGCAUGAUGAACUGUGAAUUUGCAGUUGCUGGUUGCACACAGCAAGCAGGUGUUUCAAAUCUAAUAUUGUCACUAGCAAAAGUGAACUAUAUUUAAAAGUGUGAAGUGUUUGUUUUAGAGAGAAACAUCUUUACUGAAAAUGAACAAAAAGAUCAAGGUCAGUACUGUUAGAUUCUCUCAGAAAGUAAGUGAUCAUAAUGAAGAAAUAGGGAAAAUAUCUUGUUUAUUCUGAUGGCUAUACAAUGAAUGUCAAGCAAAUGGAUCAAAAAAUGCCUGGAUUUUUUUUUCUAAUGAGAAAGAAAGGAUGUGGCUUUGUAUAUGGCUCUGGGUGGGUGAGGAUGAGGGGAAAAUCUGGGAGGAGAGGCGAGAUUGCAAUCAAUAUAUUUUAUGAAAAUAAUCCAGUUUUAAUUAAGACUCAAUAUAAUAUAAAAUUACUUUAUUUAAAUUUUAAAAAGCUUGUGAAGUUUCCAAAACACUUUUCAACAGUAAUAUGCCCAAGCUUUAUGAAAUAUCCAAGGUACGACUGCGAAGAAUAUCAUGUAGACGUCUGCCCAUAUAUGUAUGUAAUGGAAGUUAUGCCUUUUGCCAUGCAUGGAAAACAGUGAAAAACAAGAGUAAAAAUGUGUGACAUGCAUGUGAUAUUAACUGGAAAAUUGCCUCUACUGCACUUUACAAGUGAGACUUAGAAAUUUUUUUUUAAAUAUAGGAGCUAGAGAGAUGGCUCAGUAGUUAAAAGCAGAUACCUCUUGCACAGAACCCACUGUACAUUGCUAGCACCCAUGUCAGAUGGUUUUCAACCUCCUUUGGCUUCAGUUCUCAGCAGUCAGAUGUUAUCUUCUGGCCAACAAAGUAUCCUGCACUCCUGUGCUCAUACCCAUACUCAAAUAAACACACACCC